GUGCUUGCUUCGGCAGCACAGGUACUAAAACUGAACAAUGCAGAGAAUUAUCAAGGGCCCUGUGCAAGGAUGCCAUGCAAAUUUGUGAAGGGUUUCACAUUUUA
rnacentral:snRNA from 1 species